rnacentral:rRNA from 1 species
GACGAACGCUGGCGGCGUGCCUAAUACAUGCAAGUCGAACGAGAGCGACCGGUGCUUGCACUGGUCAAUCUAGUGGCGAACGGGUGAGUAACACGUGGGUAACCUGCCCAUCAGAGGGGGAUAACAUCCGGAAACGGAUGCUAAAACCGCAUAGGUCUUCGAACCGCAUGGUUUGAAGAGGAAAAGAGGCGCAAGCUUCUGCUGAUGGAUGGACCCGCGGUGCAUUAGCUAGUUGGUGACGUAACGGCUCACCAAGGCCGUGAUGCAUAGCCGACCUGAGAGGGUGAUCGGCCACAUUGGGACUGAGACACGGCCCAAACUCCUACGGGAGGCAGCAGUAGGGAAUCUUCCGCAAUGGACGCAAGUCUGACGGAGCAACGCCGCGUGAGUGAAGAAGGUUUUCGGAUCGUAAAACUCUGUUGUUAGAGAAGAACAAGUGCUAGAGUAACUGUUAGCGCCUUGACGGUAUCUAACCAGAAAGCCACGGCUAACUACGUG